rnacentral:rRNA from 1 species
AAAGAAUCUGGAGACAGGUGCUGCAUGGCUGUCGUCAGCUCGUGUCGUGAGAUGGUUGGGUUAAGUCCCGCAACGAGCGCAACCCUUGCCUUUAGUUGCCAGCAGUUCGGCUGGGCACUCUAAAGGGACUGCCGGUGUUAAACCGGAGGAAGGUGGGGAUGACGUCAAGUCCUCAUGGCCUUUAUGACCAGGGCUACACACGUACUACAAUGGCCGAUACAAAGGGCAGCGACACUGCGAGGUGAAGCCAAUCCCGUAAAAUCGGUCUCAGUCCGGAUUGGAGUCUGCAACUCGACUCCAUGAAGUUGGAAUCGCUAGUAAUCGUGGAUCAGCAUGCCACGGUGAAUACGUUCCCGGGCCUU